rnacentral:rRNA from 1 species
UACAGAGGUCUCAAGCGUUGUUCGGAUUCAUUGGGCGUAAAGGGUGCGUAGGCGGCGAGGUAAGUCGGAUGUGAAAUCCCGGGGCUCAACCCUGGAACUGCAUUCGAUACUGCUUUGCUUGAGUACUGGAGAGGAGACUGGAAUUUACGGUGUAGCAGUGAAAUGCGUAGAGAUCGGGAGGAACACCAGUGGCGAAGGCGACUACCUGGACCAGCACUGACACUGAGGCACGAAAGCGUGGGGAGCAAACAGG